GUGCUCACUUGAGCAGCACAUACACUAAAAUUGGAAUGAUAGAGAUUAGCAUGACCACUGCACGAGGAUGACGUGCAAAUUUGUGAAGAAGCAUUCCAUAUUUUU